GUCCGCCAACGAUGGAAUCGACAUCGGUUGAGGUUGUGGAAUUGGUGGAGUACGUCUACGCUCACUAGCUAGAGAUUAGGGCCAAAACAUCAAACACACAAACAAAUUGAUCAUUGUUGCUGCAUAUCGUCUAGUUUUGAUGCUGGGCUGCCUCUGGAUCAAGUUCAGGGGGUUGAAACCGGUGGCGCAGAUGGAGAAGACACGCUUCAAGAACAAAGAGGAAAUGAAGAAAAGAAAAUAGGAAAAAAAAAAAA